rnacentral:rRNA from 1 species
GGCCUGGCUGGCCGGUCCGCCUCACCGCGUGUACUGGUCCGGCCGGGCCUUUCCUUCUGGGGAACCUCAUGCCCUUCACUGGGCGUGCUGGGGAACCAGGACUUUUACUUUGAAAAAAUUAGAGUGUUCAAAGCAGGCCUUUGCUCGAAUACAUUAGCAUGGAAUAAUAGAAUAGGACGUGCGGUUCUAUUUUGUUGGUUUCUAGGACCGCCGUA